AGAGCUACUGAUUGGAUGCGGGGGCUUCACCGCCUACCAAUUCCUGACAAACUCCGAAUGCUAUAAAAUGAUUACCAGCAGUGAGGGCAUGGGUGCUAAGGUCCAUGUCCAAGAGGGAAAGAACCCAGACCAUCAGCUAAGGUCCCCAAAUGUAUGCUAAGUUGAAAAAACGAGGUUUGUCUGCAUAGACAGCUAGGAUGUUGGCUUGGAAGCAGCCAUUCAUUUAAAGAGUGCGUAACAGCUCACUAGUCGAGCGGUUGAGCAUGGAUAAUAAUCGGGCAUAAGUAUACUACCGAAGCUAUGGACUUGAAAAAGUGGUAGGGGAGCAUUCUAUAGGCAUCGAAGGUGAUAUGUGAGUAUUGCUGGAGCGUAUAGAAAAGAAAAUGUAGGCAUAAGUAACGAUAAUGCGGGCGAGAAACCCGCACGCCGAAAGACCAAGGAUUCCUCAGCUAUGCUAAUCAGCUGAGGGUUAGUCGGGGCCUAACGCGAACCCGAACGGGGUAGUGGAUGGACAACAGGUUAAUAUUCCUGUACCUGCUUACAAUAAAAGUGACGGAGGCGUAUAUUUGGUGCGUGCAGACGGAAUUGCACGUUGAAGAGAGUGGUAACACCUCGAUAGUACACUAAGACUACGGUUGCGGUGAUAAUCCAGAGAAGCGACUUCCAAGAAAAGCGUGUAAAGCAGCCCGUACCGUAAACCGACACAGGAGGUU
rnacentral:rRNA from 1 species